rnacentral:lncRNA from 1 species
AAACGUUGCCCUAAAUAAUCCCACGCGUUGGAAAAGCCCCACGGAGGGGGUUAUGGGAUGGGGCGGGGGGGGGGGGNGGGGGGGGCGGGGAGGGUCGGGGCGGGGGCGGUGCCUCCACAGCUGUGCGGGGAAUGUGCAGAAUCCGCGGGCACCGCGACCGCCCCGUGCCCGGUCCCAGCGCGCUGCCGGUACCGGAGCGGGAGGGGAGAGGCGCGGCCGGGGCUGAUCCCGCUGCUACCGGGGAGAGGCGGUCCCGGGGGUCCCAACGCAGCCGGUGCGGGGAUCGCGGCGCUGCCACCCGUUGCCCUUUGCUCUGAGCUCAUCAACUCGCUUUGCCAGGCAAAUCAGCCCGGAUCGGGGACGGGGUGAGGGGGGACCCGCAGCCAUGGCGCAGAAAUCGGACUCCCGGGACUCGGAUAACAGCUGGGUGCUGACGGGCACUGAGGGGCUGCCUGUGGAUACGGUGGGGCCGGAGCAGGAUUCAGCCUCCCAUGAGGAUGAGGACGAGGAGGAAGGGGAGGAGGAAGGCACCCCGGACGCGGGCACAGCUGAUGGCAGUGAGGAUGGAGCCGCCUCCCUGGGUGAAAAACAGCACCCUGAGGUCGGGGAUGCAGAGGAACGCUCGGAUCCCGGUGCCGGCACGGAGCUCCCUACAUCCGGCCCUACAGAGCUCAGCACCGCGGAGAGCUGGGAGCGGGAGCAGCACGACGCUGAGCCGGGACCGCGUGCUGAGGGCCGCACCGCAGGGCUGCCGCUGGAGGAGGGGAGCUGCACCAGCAGUGACGACGAUGUGGAGGGGCUGCGGCGGCGGCAGGUCCACCAGCCCCGUCCCGGGACCCCCCCUCCUGCACCCAUCCCACGCCGUGUGACGCAGGAUGAAGGCAACGAGGAGGGGCUCAGCGCCAACAAACUGUUGCUGGGAGCGCUGGCCUUGGUGGCUGUGGCUCUGCUGAUCGUCUCCGGUGAGUCGGGGGUGCUGGGGUCGGGGGGGGGGGGG